AUGCACCGGUGGUCGAACGCCGGCAUCGGCACGCUCCGAGGCACGGCGGUCGCCGCGCGGUCGAGGGAAGGGGACGGGGCGGUGAAUUCGCUGGCUUGGCGAACUGCGCUGGCCCACGUGGUGAGGAAGUUGCUGAAGGAGCGGCCGUCGGCUGCGUGGUGGUGGUGGAUGAUGCCGAUCACGAGGCCGCCGCACUUGUACCGGUUCAGCUUGAUCUGCAGCAGCGCCGCCCCGACGUUCUCCUGCUUGUCCCAGACGUGCCAACUGUUAGUUGCCGGUGCCCGACGUCGCCGUCCUACUGAUGAAGCUAAUUACCUCCGGCGGUGGCAGUGCAGGGUACAGGCCCUCGGUGGCGGCGGUAAAGCAGCCGUCGGCGACCACGCUCGCCAUAUCGACAGGGACCUCGGUGUCCAGGACAAGCACGCCGUCGUUGUUGAGGUAGAUGGAGCGCCUGCCUGA
rnacentral:rRNA from 1 species